rnacentral:rRNA from 1 species
UACGUAGGGUGCUAGCGUUGUCCGGAAUUAUUGGGCGUAAAGAGCUCGUAGGCGGUUUGUCGCGUCUGCUGUGAAAACUCGGGGCUUAACUCCGGGCCUGCAGUGGGUACGGGCAGACUAGAGUGCGGUAGGGGAGACUGGAAUUCCUGGUGUAGCGGUGAAAUGCGCAGAUAUCAGGAGGAACACCGGUGGCGAAGGCGGGUCUCUGGGCCGUAACUGACGCUGAGGAGCGAAAGCGUGGGGAGCGAACAGG